UUUUAGCCCCGAUGGAAACGGCAUCCUUUUUUGGCUCUUCACUCCUAUUGUCUGCCAAAAAAGAUAUAGUGGACAGCGGGACAAGUG
rnacentral:sRNA from 1 species